rnacentral:rRNA from 1 species
AUGACGCCCGUUAGGAGCCAUAAAAAUGUUGAGUUGGAACUGUCGAGGCUGGGUCAGCCUCGUACAGUUCAAGAGUUGGUGUGCCUCACUAAGACGCACAGACCCAAUGUCAUCUUUUUAUCUGAAACAAGGAAAAAUAAAGAGUAUGUUGAGAGUUUGCGCUACAGGUUGGGUAUGAAUAAUGUGUUUACUAUUUCUGGCCAAGGUAAAGGUGGAGGACUAGCUGUGUUUUGGGAUGAGGCCUACUCUUGUGAGUUGAACAGAUAUGGGGAUCAUUUUAUUGAUAUGUACCUCGGCAAGGGAGAUGGAACAAAGUGGAUGUGCACUUUCAUUUAUGGUGAGCCUAAGGCAAGCCAAAGGUACAUUAUGUGGGAUCUCUUGAGACGGUUAAAACCUAUUGGUGUAGGAGCUUGGUUUAUGGCUGGAUCUGGGGUGUUUGAGCGCCGCAGGCCCCCUUCCCCGGUGGAUGUCGUGGUGGUCUGGUCCGUCGUUUUGGCGUGGUGUUGGGGCUGCUCCCUGUGUUGGUGGAGAUGCUCGUGGUGGGUGGAUGCCGGGGUGGCGGCCCCGGGCUGUGCGGGUGGCGUCGGCUCUAUGGCGUGCGGCGGCCGCGAGGGCUAUACCGCAACCUCGGUCGUGCGGGCGACGAGGUUGUGGCGGGCGUGCUCUGUCUGGUGA